GACGUAGGGCGCGAGCGUUGUUCGGAUUUAUUGGGCGUAAAGAGCUCGUAGGCGGUUUGUCGCGUCUGCUGUGAAAACCUGAGGCUCAACCUCGGGCUUGCAGUGGGUACGGGCAGACUAGAGUGCGGUAGGGGUGACUGGAAUUCCUGGUGUAGCGGUGGAAUGCGCAGAUAUCAGGAGGAACACCGAUGGCGAAGGCAGGUCACUGGGCCGCAACUGACGCUGAGGAGCGAAAGCAUGGGGAGCGAACAGG
rnacentral:rRNA from 1 species